rnacentral:rRNA from 1 species
GCUGGCGGCGUGCCUAAUACAUGCAAGUCGAACGCUUCUUUUCCCACCGGAGCUUGCUCCACCGGGAAAAGAGGAGUGGCGAACGGGUGAGUAACACGUGGGUAACCUGCCCAUCAGAAGGGGAUAACACUUGGAAACAGGUGCUAAUACCGUAUAACAAUCGAAACCGCAUGGUUUCGUUUUGAAAGGCGCUUUACGGUGCCGCUGAUGGAUGGACCCGCGGUGCAUUAGCUAGUUGGUGAGGUAACGGCUCACCAAGGCCACGAUGCAUAGCCGACCUGAGAGGGUGAUCGGCCACAUUGGGACUGAGACACGGCCCAAACUCCUACGGGAGGCAGCAGUAGGGAAUCUUCGGCAAUGGACGAAAGUCUGACCGAGCAACGCCGCGUGAGUGAAGAAGGUUUUCGGAUCGUAAAACUCUGUUGUUAGAGAAGAACAAGGGUGAGAGUAACUGUUCACCCCUUGACGGUAUCUAACCAGAAAGCCACGGCUAACUACGUGCCAGCAGCCGCGGUAAUACGUAGGUGGCAAGCGUUGUCCGGAUUUAUUGGGCGUAAAGCGAGCGCAGGCGGUUUCUUAAGUCUGAUGUGAAAGCCCCCGGCUCAACCGGGGAGGGUCAUUGGAAACUGGGAGACUUGAGUGCAGAAGAGGAGAGUGGAAUUCCAUGUGUAGCGGUGAAAUGCGUAGAUAUAUGGAGGAACACCAGUGGCGAAGGCGGCUCUCUGGUCUGUAACUGACGCUGAGGCUCGAAAGCGUGGGGAGCAAACAGGAUUAGAUACCCUGGUAGUCCACGCCGUAAACGAUGAGUGCUAAGUGUUGGAGGGUUUCCGCCCUUCAGUGCUGCAGCUAACGCAUUAAGCACUCCGCCUGGGGAGUACGACCGCAAGGUUGAAACUCAAAGGAAUUGACGGGGGCCCGCACAAGCGGUGGAGCAUGUGGUUUAAUUCGAAGCAACGCGAAGAACCUUACCAGGUCUUGACAUCCUUUGACCACUCUAGAGAUAGAGCUUCCCCUUCGGGGGCAAAGUGACAGGUGGUGCAUGGUUGUCGUCAGCUCGUGUCGUGAGAUGUUGGGUUAAGUCCCGCAACGAGCGCAACCCUUAUUGUUAGUUGCCAUCAUUUAGUUGGGCACUCUAGCAAGACUGCCGGUGACAAACCGGAGGAAGGUGGGGAUGACGUCAAAUCAUCAUGCCCCUUAUGACCUGGGCUACACACGUGCUACAAUGGGAAGUACAACGAGUCGCGAAGUCGCGAGGCUAAGCUAAUCUCUUAAAGCUUCUCUCAGUUCGGAUUGUAGGCUGCAACUCGCCUACAUGAAGCCGGAAUCGCUAGUAAUCGCGGAUCAGCACGCCGCGGUGAAUACGUUCCCGGGCCUUGUACACACCGCCCGUCACACCACGAGAGUUUGUAACACCCGAAGUCGGUGAGGUAACCUUUUUGGAGCCAGUCCGCCUAAG